GUGAGGAAUCUUGCGCAAUGGGGGCAACCCUGACGCAGCAACGCCGCGUGAGUGAUGAAGGCCUUCGGGUCGUAAAGCUCUGUCAGAUGGGAAGAAGGGGCUAGCGGUGAAUAAUCGCUGGGCCUUGACGGUACCGUCAGAGGAAGCACCGGCUAACUCCGUGCCAGCAGCCGCGGUAAUACGGAGGGUGCAAGCGUUGUUCGGAAUUAUUGGGCGUAAAGAGCGUGUAGGCGGCCUUGUAAGUCAGAUGUGAAAGCCCUUGGCUUAACCAAGGAAGUGCAUUUGAAACUGCAUGGCUUGAGUACGAGAGGGGGAAGUGGAAUUCCCGGUGUAGAGGUGAAAUUCGUAGAUAUCGGGAGGAACACCGGUAGCGAAGGCGGCUUCCUGGAUCGAUACUGACGCUGAGACGCGAAAGCGUGGGGAGCAAACAGGAUUAGAAACCCUUGUAGUCC
rnacentral:rRNA from 1 species